rnacentral:rRNA from 1 species
UUGAACGCUGGCGGCAGGCCUAACACAUGCAGGUCGAGCGGAUGAAGGGAGCUUGCUCCUGGAUUCAGCGGCGGACGGGUGAGUAAUGCCUAGGAAUCUGCCUGGUAGUGGGGGAUAACGUCCGGAAACGGGCGCUAAUACCGCAUACGUCCUGAGGGAGAAAGUGGGGGAUCUUCGGACCUCACGCUAUCAGAUGAGCCUAGGUCGGAUUAGCUAGUUGGUGGGGUAAAGGCCUACCAAGGCGACGAUCCGUAACUGGUCUGAGAGGAUGAUCAGUCACACUGGAACUGAGACACGGUCCAGACUCCUACGGGAGGCAGCAGUGGGGAAUAUUGGACAAUGGGCGAAAGCCUGAUCCAGCCAUGCCGCGUGUGUGAAGAAGGUCUUCGGAUUGUAAAGCACUUUAAGUUGGGAGGAAGGGCAGUAAGUUAAUACCUUGCUGUUUUGACGUUACCAACAGAAUAAGCACCGGCUAACUUCGUG